rnacentral:rRNA from 1 species
UGGGGAAUAUUGCACAAUGGGCGCAAGCCUGAUGCAGCCAUGCCGCGUGUGUGAAGAAGGCCUUCGGGUUGUAAAGCACUUUCAGCGGGGAGGAAGGCGAUAAGGUUAAUAACCUCAUCGAUUGACGUUACCCGCAGAAGAAGCACCGGCUAACUCCGUGCCAGCAGCCGCGGUAAUACGGAGGGUGCAAGCGUUAAUCGGAAUUACUGGGCGUAAAGCGCACGCAGGCGGUCUGUCAAGUCGGAUGUGAAAUCCCCGGGCUCAACCUGGGAACUGAAUUCGAAAUUGGAGGGCUAGAGUCUUGAAGGGGGGGGAGGAAUUCCGGGGGAGCGGGUGAAAUGCGUAGAGACCUGGAGAAUUACAGGAGGGGAGGGGGCCCCCCUGAAAAAAGAAUGCGGCUAAGGGGCGAAAGCGUGGGAGCAAACAGG